GGCUUUUUUAAGUGCAAAGGUGGGAGCAGGCUGAUCGGCUUGAGUUUGCUUCCUUUUCUUGACCUCUGCCAUCCUCUGUAGAUUGAACUUCAUUAUUUCUAUUACAUAAAAGUAGAAGUUAUUAGUGGAUGAAGAUAUUGAUGAAAAAUGAUAAAGUUAUCAAAUAAAUUGAUAUCAGACUUAUUCUGAGGAGAGAUCUAACUGAUGCCAAC
rnacentral:lncRNA from 1 species